rfam:Ricinus communis cultivar Hale ctg_1100012359364, whole genome shotgun sequence.
AGUCCAUGGUGCGGGCUACAUCGAAGCAAGUCCUUGUAUCUCUCCCAAGCAUCAUACAUGCUCUCAUCAUCUAACUGCACAAAAGAAGAUAUAUCAUUUCUCAAUCU